rnacentral:lncRNA from 1 species
AUUGGUUUGUGGUUGCUGAUGACUGAAUUUUGCUCUGCUUUCUCUUUGAUGUGGCAGUGAAACCAAUAGCUGUUUCUUUUCUUUUCUUUUCUUUUCUUCUUUUUAGCCCACUUUCCUCCUUUUGUGUGCAAGAGGAAAUUCUCGUGUGUGAUUCAUUUGACAAUCUCAGCUUCUUCUUUCUGGGGAAGUAACUCUACUUAGUAGUCAUCACCUCAAAGUGGCUAGCUGUUGGGCAAGAAGUUGCUAUUGCAUCCGCAUGUCUAGGAUUUAAUCUUCAGAGAAGAUGAUAUUCUAUCGCAGUGAAAUUCUGUCUUGCCCAAGGGACUUUAGGCAUGGGAGGUGAGCCAAGCGCUGUCAAGGGGGAAGCUGACGCAGUCGAGGCUGGUUCUGGUUCUAGAGAACUGUGUUGCUGGUGCUUAGAGGAAUGGUGGAGACUAGAAGGUUUCUUCCUCCCUGCUUUCAAGCAAGUAGAGACUGUUCCAUCCUGAUUACAAGAGCAUCCAGCUUGACCCUGCUGAUCCUGAGUCAGCACUCUGCACUGCUCUGCUCUUUCCACACCAAAACUCUCUGUCUGGUCUCCACAUCCAGCGACAGUGCUGAACUUUUGCUUCAUACAACGUUUCGAGUAAGUAAAAGCACCCAUUACAUAGUUGGCACUCGCAUAUUUGCACCUUUUCUUUCAUAUGAGAUCCAAGGUUUCAUUUGUAGACUCUUUGUGCCCUCUCUCCAUGAUAUUUCAUACUGUCGACGUCCAGCUGGUUGAAUUUCUCUUCAGGUUUUCCGUGUUAUCUCUCUUAUAGAUUUCUGUGUUACUCUAACAUUCGUUUCCAUUACCAAGAUAACACUACAGGGCUGUCUUUUUGACCAUACAGGUGGACCUUGUUUUGUAGCGAUUUGCUUUGUUGUGCCUCUCAGGUAUUUUGUUUUUGACAAGUUAAAGGUUUCGGGCAACUAUGCAUUGGGCACAUCUAUUGGCACCGCUUUUACCUUUUAAUCUCCUCCCCUAACUUGCUCCCCACUGGUGACUACUAGUUUGUUAUCUUUUUCUGUGAGCCUGUUUCUUUUUUGCUAUAUUCACUAGUUUGUUGUAUUUUUUAGAUUCCACCUGUAAGUGAUAUGUAGUAUUUAGCUUUUUCUCUCUGACUUAUUUCACUUAGCGUAACACAGUAAAGUUUUUCUUGGGAAAUGCUUCUGGUUGACAUUCAGUCAAGUCAUGUCCAUUCCCAACACCAAGGUUAAUACCUUUUUCCCCAGAUCUUUGUUAAAUCACCAUGACACCUGCUUCGCAAAUAGGAGACAUAUUCCAAUUUUAUUAAUCUGACAUAUUCCAAUUUAUUAUUCUGCAUAGCAGAUUAUCCCAUCAGAGUUUACCUUUUAAAAAAAGUUAUUUUAUACUACUUUUUUUUUGCAAGACAUGUAGUUUUAUUAAGUAAAAGUAAUGUUAGCAUUCCGGCUGUGGUCCAGUGAGUUAGGAACCCGACGACAGAGGCUUGGAUCACUGCAGAGCUGCAGGUUCGAUCCCUGGCCUGGCACAGUGGGUUAAAGGAUCCAGUGUUGCCACAGCUGUGGUAUAGGUUGCAGCUGCAGCUUGGAUUCAAUCCCUGGAUUGAAUAACGGGAACUUCCAUAUAUUGUGGGUGUGGCCAUAAAAAAUAGUAAUGUUGUCACUUUCUCUCCGAAUUUUUUGUUUUAUUUUUCUAGUCCCUUAAAAAUUAUUUUCUAGUUUUAUUGAGAAAUAAUUGACAUACAUUAUCGUACUGUUUUAAGGCAUAAAGCGUGAUGGUUUGAUUUGCAACUACUGUGAAACGAUUACCACAAGUUCAGCCAUGUCUUUUAUACAGAUAAAAUAAAAGGAAAACAAAGACAGAUUAUUUUUUCCUU